AUUGAACGCUGGCGGCAGGCUUAACACAUGCAAGUCGAGCGGGGGAAGGUAGCUUGCUACCGGACCUAGCGGCGGACGGGUGAGUAAUGCUUAGGAAUCUGCCUAUUAGUGGGGGACAACAUCUCGAAAGGGAUGCUAAUACCGCAUACGUCCUACGGGAGAAAGCAGGGGAUCUUCGGACCUUGCGCUAAUAGAUGAGCCUAAGUCGGAUUAGCUAGUUGGUGGGGUAAAGGCCUACCAAGGCGACGAUGUGUAGCGGGUCUGAGAGGAUGAUCCGCCACACUGGGCCUGAGACACGGCCCAGACUCCUACGGGAGGCAGCAGUGGGGAAUAUUGGACAAUGGGGGGAACCCUGAUCCAGCCAUGCCGCGUGUGUGAAGAAGGCCUUAUGGUUGUAAAGCACUUUAAGCGAGGAGGAGGCUACUCUAGUUAAUACCUAGGGAUAGUGGACGUUACUCGCAGAAUAAGCACCGGCUAACUCUGUGCCAGCCGCCGCCGUAAGAC
rnacentral:rRNA from 1 species